ACAAGAAGGGGACUAACACCCGCCAAUGUUUAUCCUGCACUAGGGGGUUGGCACAUUGAUACCCGGGACGUGAAAGCAGUGUUCCUAGCAUCACAUACUCAGGAGAGGGUACAGCCAGGACCCGGAGCCUCCAGUUACGGAAGGAAAAGGUCUGAGCCACUACAGAUGAUGUGCCAACCUGAAAUAAGAAUAGGAAGCUCGAUUUCCAGAUGAUUUAGAAAGAGAACUAAUAUACACCUGGCUGCAGACACAGUGAAUAUACCUCAGGGAUGUUCUCAGGAUGGAAAAUAAAAGAUGCUGAGGUCACUGCCCUUUCUAUCUAUUUUAGAAAAAGAAAAAAAGUGUGAACUUAAUGAUGAAAUUAUUUGCAGUGCUCUGAAGGGUGGAUGGCAGAGCAGAGCAACUCUGAAGGCACUGAAAAGAGGUGGGAAGUCAGUUGGCACUUCAAAGGACCCCAGGACCUUUGCACAACCCUGGGCAGAAGAGAAUGGAAAGUUCCAAUUGUGACAGAAACAGAAAUUCCCACAUCAGUGUGAGGUGGGGGCUCAGGGUCAGAUUUAUGGCAGUGGAAAUAAAAUAAAGCAUGAUAUUUAUUGCCCCCCUACAUUUGUGCGCCCAGCUAUCCACAUUUUUUUUCCCGGAGUUGGUCAAUGUGGGCUUAAGGGAAAUGUAACUCAUUUUAAUAUUUGCUUAAACCAAAUGGAAUAUAGAAAGGAAAUAAAUCUGCUGCCAAGCCAUCAAGUUGUACAUUUUAAACCCAAAAUAAAGGGCCUGAUGGAUUUACAUUAUACAU